UGAUCUGGGCUCAGGACGAACGCUGGCGGCGUGCUUAACACAUGCAAGUCGAACGGAAAGGCCUGCAGCUUGCUGCGGGUACUCGAGUGGCGAACGGGUGAGUAACACGUGGGUGAUCUGCCUUGCACUUCGGGAUAAGCUUGGGAAACUGGGUCUAAUACCGGAUAGGACAGCUGUUUAGUGUCAGUUGUGGUAAGUUUUUUCGGUGCAAGAUGAGCUCGCGGCCUAUCAGCUUGUUGGUGGGGUAAUGGCCUACCAAGGCGUCGACGGGUAGCCGGCCUGAGAGGGUGUACGGCCACAUUGGGACUGAGAUACGGCCCAGACUCCUACGGGAGGCAGCAGUGGGGAAUAUUGCACAAUGGGCGGAAGCCUGAUGCAGCGACGCCGCGUGGGGGAUGAAGGCCUUCGGGUUGUAAACUCCUUUCGACAGGGACGAAGCGUAAGUGACGGUACCUGUAUAAGAAGCACCGGCUGACUACGUGCCAGCAGCCGCGGUAAUACGUAGGGUGCGAGCGUUGUCCGGAAUUACUGGGCGUAAAGAGCUCGUAGGUGGUUUGUCGCGUCGUCUGUGAAAUUCCGGGGCUUAACUCUGGGCGUGCAGGCGAUACGGGCUGACUUGAGUGCUGUAGGGGAGACUGGAAUUCCUGGUGUAGCGGUGAAAUGCGCAGAUAUCAGGAGGAACACCGAUGGCGAAGGCAGGUCUCUGGGCAGUAACUGACGCUGAGGAGCGAAAGCAUGGGUAGCGAACAGGAUUAGAUACCCUGGUAGUCCAUGCCGUAAACGGUGGGCGCUAGGUGUAGGGGGCUUCCACGUCUUCUGUGCCGUAGCUAACGCAUUAAGCGCCCCGCCUGGGGAGUACGGCCGCAAGGCUA
rnacentral:rRNA from 1 species